GACGAACGCUGGCGGCGUGCCUAAUACAUGCAAGUAGAACGCUGAAGCUUGGUGCUUGCACCGAGCGGAUGAGUUGCGAACGGGUGAGUAACGCGUAGGUAACCUGCCUGGUAGCGGGGGAUAACUAUUGGAAACGAUAGCUAAUACCGCAUAAUAGUAGAUGUUGCAUGACAUUUGCUUAAAAGGUGCAAUUGCAUCACUACCAGAUGGACCUGCGUUGUAUUAGCUAGUUGGUGAGGUAACGGCUCACCAAGGCAACGAUACAUAGCCGACCUGAGAGGGGGAUCGGCCACACUGGGACUGAGACACGGCCCAGACUCCUACGGGAGGCAGCAGUAGGGAAUCUUCGGCAAUGGACGGAAGUCUGACCGAGCAACGCCGCGGGAGUGAAGAAGGUUUUCGGAUCGUAAAGCUCUGUUGUAAGAGAAGAACGAGUGUGAGAGUGGAAAGUUCACACUGUGACGGUAUCUUACCAGAAAGGGACGGCUAACUACGUG
rnacentral:rRNA from 1 species